UCCACACAAAGCAGUGUCUUUGCACAUACUGUUGGUCCAGCAUCGGCUAACGUGGUAGCCAUACAACGCUGUUCCAGCCAGGUCAGGUUGCAGGGAAAAGGUUACAGGCCGCAGGGAAUCCAGCCACAAUUAGUGUGGGAACCUCUGAGGUCCCAGACACAAGGGUUGGGAAACCCUGCUAGCUUGAUACUGAUAGCUACCAGCUAGGCUAGUAGCUAAGCUACGGUAAACAACUUCAGGCUUUUUGGUCUGGCAGGAUCCCGGGACAGAUUGUAGCUGUCACAGCAACUGAGGCUAACCGCGAUGCAGGAUCCAAAGUAAAAAAGUAUGUAAAUAAAACUUGGCAAGGAAACACAACUUUCAAAAACAAUAAAGUGAGGAGACAAAGAUUUCAGGGUGGGUUAUUGAGGCUGGUAAUACCCUUCAACAGUGGCCCCCACAACUGUGAUAGAGUCAACCACUGGUUUGAGGCAUGAAACCUUAGUAAUUGCUCAACACGUCCCAGCCACAAUAAAUCAUAUACUGCAGUCUCCCUUUAACAGAACAUUCAGCAGAAAUCUCCUCAUGGGCUGGAACAGGGUUCAAUGUGUUUGUUUAUUUCCAACUUGCUGAAGUCUUCAUUCUGCUGGCAAUCUGUCUGGGAUCAUACUGUUUCUACAAGAAGAAAACCUGUCCUCAAGAACAAGAUGAUGUUGAGUAAGCAGAGUGUUUGCAGUCUCUCAGGUGGAUCACGGUGGGACUCUAAGAGGGGUGUUGAUGUCAUGAAAGUUGCCAUGGGGACCAUGACUAAUGACUAAUGAUGAUGUUAUACUGCUCAUUGCUGUUUUAAUCUUAAUCAAGCUCAAACUCAAAGCACAGUCCUGUAUUUAGAUCUUUUGACAUAUAUUUUCAUAUUUUCAUAAUGUUCCUUCAGAACUGCUAUUAACAAAGUAAUAAUGAAAGAUCUAUGUGAUGGUGUUUAUUUAAUGGAUUUUAACUCUUGAAUUGUAGUGUUUUCGUGCUUUUUUAUUUGU